UACGAAGGGGGCUAGCGUUGCUCGGAAUUACUGGGCGUAAAGGGAGCGUAGGCGGACAUUUAAGUCAGGGGUGAAAUCCCAGAGCUCAACUCUGGAACUGCCUUUGAUACUGGGUGUCUUGAGUGUGAUAGAGGUAUGUGGAACUCCGAGUGUAGAGGUGAAAUUCGUAGAUAUUCGGAAGAACACCAGUGGCGAAGGCGACAUACUGGAUCAUUACUGACGCUGGAG
rnacentral:rRNA from 1 species